rnacentral:tRNA from 1 species
GGGCGAGUGGUGAAAUUGGUAUACACGCUAGACUUAAAAUCUGGUGGCCGAAAAGCCUUGCGGGUUCGAGUCCCGCCUCGCCCA